CCUGCCUUACUAUUUAUGGCAAUGUGGUGAUAUUAAGGAACUCAGUAAUGUAUACUCUAUCAUGGAGUUUGAUUUCUCGGUACCAAUUCAUGCCUGUUUUGGGAAAACAGAGAUUGAAUUUUCUACUCCAGGAACAUGCCAUGGCUUUGCUCUUUGGAUUGAUUGGCUAAUCGAUGAAAGAAAUUCCAUUUCUAUAUCAACCGGACUAGGUUAGCAUCAAUAACUACAAAAUCAAUCAAUGUGGAGCAUUUUGAUCUUGUUAAUAGACACCGGAAACAAGGGGUACAGCUUAUCAGCAAGCCAGUGGUGGUCAAUGUAGCUUCAUGCUACACCGAAAUAGAGGCCUCCUUCGAUCCUUCGACUGGCGAACUCUUCGUUAAACCCUCAUUCUCAUACCCAUCAUA